CCUCGGCACAGUGGCUGCUUCAUGAGCUACAGCGCAUGUGUCGAAGCCUCGGGUAUCAGAGGACCAUCACUAUGUUGACCUGGUUUUGGAGUAAAACACGGUGGAAGCUGAAUUAGUGAGGAUGACUCCUGCUCCUGUCAUCUCUAAGCUCCUCACACAUCUUUACCUGCACAUGAGGAAAAUCACUCCUGUAGAAUGCAGAUGUUCAGAGGGAGAUGAUGCCACAUCUGGUCCAGCUGAUGGAAGGUCUUGAAGUUCUCUGACUGGCCUCGACUGAAGAUGGUCGUCUCACUGGAUUUAAGGUUCAGAUGCUCAGUAACAAACUCCACCAAUGAGCCAACAGGGAAGCUUUAGGUUUAUUAAAUGUUGCUAUGAAGGUUUCACUGUUUUUCUUUGUGAAUGCAAUGUGCUCCAACUAGGGUUGUCAAGGUUAACCGGUUUUACAAUAACCACGAUUAUAAAUAGAUAUUCGUCACAUUUUUCACAACCACGAUUAUCCGUAGAAAAGCCUCGCGAGAGGUGCAAUGCAAGAAGCGUGAGCUGCGCUGAGUGGAGAGUGGAGAGAGAGUGGCUCCUUGGCCUGUGCGCGCGCUCCUGUCUAAUCGACAUCACUGCGCGCACACACACACACACACACACACACAGAGAGAGAGAGAGAGAUAGAGAGAAUUAUAUGAUCAGUUAUGACAGAUUCUUUACUCGAAGUGUCCCUAAUAUUGUGGCCGCUGUGCGCAAUGAGGUUGCCAAGAUGGGACUGUCCGCUGCACGUGCGGUAACUGUCGGUUCCGAAGUCAGCGGUCCGGCGGCCGGGCCGCCCCGAGGACCCCCCGAGUUUCCUUCC